CUAACCGCUGUGCCACCCAGGCGCCCCAAGGAAGAGCCUAUUCAAACACUGUUUUGCUUCUGUCUUUUCCAGAAAAGGAGAAUGUUCUGUCUUUUCCAGAAAAGGAGACAACAGUAACACAAGAUGGGACAUUCAGGUUGUUCGAAUUUUUUACCACUGUAAAUAACACUGAGAGACUUUCUGGAUUUCCAAUCCUCAUCCAGUCUUCAGAAUGUCCUACUGAGGCAUAUCUUCCACCAUCUGCCCAUUCAUCUCCACAUACUGAGCAGCCGGAGCUUGCACUUUCACUCCCAUAACUGUAGUUUCUGCUUUGGAACUGACUCCCACCUCCCUGAAACUUGGAGAUGCCCUCUACCUCUGGACUUCCUAGCUGGAAUCAGGAAGAAUAGGCAUUUGCAUGGAUUGGGAAAGUUCCCUUCUCCCAUACUUGAUCACCCGGAGCUUGUAACGAGAGGCUGACGACUGGGAGGCCAUCUGGUAGA